CCUACGGGAGGCAGCAGUAAGGAAUAUUGGUCAAUGGGCGCAAGCCUGAACCAGCCAUGCCGCGUGCAGGAAGACGGCCCUAUGGGUUGUAAACUGCUUUUGAACAAGAGAAAACCUCGGUACGUGUACCGAGCUGAUAGUAUUGUUAGAAUAAGCAUCGGCUAACUUCGUGCCAGCAGCCGCGGUAAGACGAAGGAUGCAAGCGUUAUCCGGAUUCAUUGGGUUUAAAGGGUGCGUAGGCGGACCGAUAAGUCAGUGGUGAAAUCUCUCAGCUUAACUGAGAAACUGCCAUUGAUACUGUCAGUCUAGAGUACAGAUGAUGUGGGCGGAAUAUGACAUGUAGUGGUGAAAUACUUAGAUAUGUCAUAGAACACCGAUUGCGAAGGCAGCUCACAAAACUGUAACUGACGCUGAGGCACGAAAGUGCGGGGAUCAAACAGGAUUAGAUACCCUGGUAGUCCGCACCGUAAACGAUGAUUACUCGUUGUUGGCAAUAUGACCGUCAGCGACCAAGCGAAAGCGANAAGUAAUCCACCCUGGGGAGUACGCCGGCAACGGUGAAACGUCAAAUGAAUUGACGG
rnacentral:rRNA from 1 species